rnacentral:rRNA from 1 species
AUUGAACGCUGGCGGCAGGCCUAACACAUGCAAGUCGAGCGGAAGGAGACUUCGGUCUUCGAGAGCGGCGGACGGGUGAGUAACGCGUGGGAAUCUGGCUCUUAGAGGGGGACAACUUGUGGAAACGCAAGCUAAUACCGCAUACGCCCUAAGGGGGAAAGCAGGGGAUCUUCGGACCUUGCGCUAAGAGAUGAGCCCGCGUCGGAUUAGCUAGUUGGUAGGGUAAAGGCCUACCAAGGCGACGAUCCGUAACUGGUCUGAGAGGAUGAUCAGUCACACUGGAACUGAGACACGGUCCAGACUCCUACGGGAGGCAGCAGUGGGGAAUAUUGGACAAUGGGGGCAACCCUGAUCCAGCCAUGCCGCGUGUGUGAAGAAGGCCUUCGGGUUGUAAAGCACUUUAAGUUGGGAGGAAAGGGUGCUGGCUAAUAUCCAGUAUCUAUGACGUUACCAACAGAAUAAGCACCGGCUAACUCCGUGCCAGCAGCCGCCGUAA